GGGCAUCCUGAGAGCCAAACUGCCAUUAUUGUUAUUUCUGUUCUGGAUUUAGCCACUCAGCGGAGCUACUGGGCUCCAGGCCGGUACUGGGGAAUAUCUGCAAAGAGUCCUGUGAUGUUAUCCGUCUUCAGGUCUUUCAGCCAUGGAUACAAGCACCUGCUCUGGUGGAGGUAGCAGGGAACUGAAGUAGACUCUGUGAGGGGUCCGUGGUUGUAUUUUUAAGUGCACUGAUUUUGUGUUGGCUGGCCUCCAGCCAAAAGGUAGCACUUUCAAAAGUGCAUCAGCUGCAGUAGUAUAGGGAGGAUACAAGCUUGCCCAAGUAUCAGGUGGUGGGCAGGGCUAUAGAGCUCCCAAGAGAUUAUGUCCUUUGUCUCCAGCUACCAGGGUGGGUGGAGAAAGAUCAUCACGUUGAGGCGGGGUUAGGCUGUCUGAGUUCAGACUCUCCUUGGGUGGAGCUUGCUGCAGCUGCUGUGGGGGAUGGAGUUGUGGUUUCCCAGGCCAGUGGAGUUAUGGUCCCAGAGGGAUUAUGGCUGCCACUGCUGCAUCACACAGGUUGCCAGGAAAGUGGGGGAAACCCGGCAACCACAGGCCUCACCCGUCUCCCAUGCAGCCCAAAAGUCCAGUCUCACUCCCACCAUGUCCCCGCAAACAGCACUGAAUUUAUUUCCAGGCAACCAGUGAGCAAGGCUGAGAACUUGUCCCAGGUUACGAGACUCCCAGGUACAGUCAUGUGCCGCAUAAUGACAUUCAGUCAAUGACAGACUGCAUAUAUGAGGUGGUCCUGUAAGGUGAUAAUGGAGCUGAAAAAUUCCUACUACUGAACGACAUCAUAGCCAUUGUAACAUCAUAGCACAACCAAUCACCUUUUCUAUAUUUAGAUAAGGAGUUCAUAUGCUGGAAUGAUAGUGACACAGGAGUUUAACACUCCUACAGUAUCCAGAGCCUGGAUCCCUGAGUCAUCAGAUGGAGAAGAACUACUCAGGAGAGUCAUCCAACCUUCAUAGACAGUGGCAUGAGUGGG
rnacentral:lncRNA from 1 species